rnacentral:rRNA from 1 species
UGCUGAUUCGCUGACGAGUGGCGGACGGGUGAGUAAUGUCUGGGAAACUGCCUGAUGGAGGGGGAUAACUACUGGAAACGGUAGCUAAUACCGCAUAACGUCGCAAGACCAAAGAGGGGGACCUUCGGGCCUCUUGCCAUCGGAUGUGCCCAGAUGGGAUUAGCUAGUAGGUGGGGUAACGGCUCACCUAGGCGACGAUCCCUAGCUGGUCUGAGAGGAUGACCAGCCACACUGGAACUGAGACACGGUCCAGACUCCUACGGGAGGCAGCAGUGGGGAAUAUUGCACGAUGGGCGCAAGCCUGAUGCAGCCAUGCCGCGUGUAUGAAGAAGGCCUUCGGGUUGUAAAGUACUUUCAGCGGGGAGGAAGGGAGUAAAGUUAAUACCUUUGCUCAUUGACGUUACCCGCAGAAGAAGCACCGGCUAACUCCGUGCCAGCAGCCGCGGUAAUACGGAGGGUGCAAGCGUUAAUCGGAAUUACUGGGCGUAAAGCGCACGCAGGCGGUUUGUUAAGUCAGAUGUGAAAUCCCCGGGCUCAACCUGGGAACUGCAUCUGAUACUGGCAAGCUUGAGUCUCGUAGAGGGGGGUAGAAUUCCAGGUGUAGCGGUGAAAUGCGUAGAGAUCUGGAGGAAUACCGGUGGCGAAGGCGGCCCCCUGGACGAAGACUGACGCUCAGGUGCGAAAGCGUGGGGAGCAAACAGGA